UAAUACUGAGGGGGCAAGCGUUGUUCGGAAUUACUGGGCGUAAAGGGCGCGCAGGCUGUUUCGUUAGUCAGGCGUGAAAUCCCCGGGCUCAACCCGGGAACCGCGUUUGAUACUGCGGAACUAGAGAUCGGGAGAGGGUAGUGGAAUUCCCAGUGUAGAGGUGAAAUUCGUAGAUAUUGGGAAGAACACCAGUGGCGAAGGCGGCUACCUGGACCGAUACUGACGCUGAGGCGCGAAAGCGUGGGGAGCAAACAGGAUUAGAUACCCUGGUAGUCCACGCCGUAAACGAUGUGUGCUAGACGUCGGGGGUUACGCCUUCGGUGUCGCAGCUAACGCAUUAAGCACACCGCCUGGGGAGUACGGCCGCAAGGUUA
rnacentral:rRNA from 1 species